rnacentral:misc_RNA from 1 species
AUGGUGCUUCCCGAUGCUUUGUAUCCUUUCCAUCCUUAAAUUUAGUUGGAAUAUCAUCAGAGUGACUAUGAGGCCGACUAAAAGUCUGCGAGUGGGAACGUUCAUUUUUGGGAUCAGAUGUCAAAAGGGGUGAUACAGGUGACUCAGGAUCUGACCCAUUUGAUGUUUGUCGAUUUGCUGACUGAAUGUCAAUCUUGGGUAACUCUGGUAGUCGCAUUUCAAAACUAUCCUGUCUUCUUAUUGAUGGUUCCUUAUCAGCUCCAUCCAGUGGAAGACCAUUUUCCAUCAUUUUCUCUGGUGGUGGACUCAGAGCUUUAGGUGAUUCUUGUGAGUUGAAGGUGCCAUCCGGAGGCCGUAAUACACCUGGAACCCUCUGAAGAGACGGUGAUUUCAUCAUUUUAGGAGACGAUGGUUCUUGGAAGCUGUGACUGGCAGAAGAAUCCUUUUCAAUUUGGAAAGCAUUAGUUUCAUUGUAGUUUCUAGCUGGCAUCCUCCUUGGUAGUUUUGCAGCUUCUUCACAUUUGAGAAGCUCUGCAUAUAGACCAUCUAGGUUUAAUAGUUCAUCAUGUGUACCCAUUUCAACAAGCUGACCUUCCUCCAUUACAGCUAUGUAAUCAGCAUUCCUAAUAAGACUAAGUCG